rnacentral:rRNA from 1 species
UACGUAGGGGGCUAGCGUUAUCCAGAUUUACUGGGCGUAAAGCGCGUGUAGGCGGCUGGUUAGGUGUGAUGUGAAAUCCUCGGGCUCAACCCGAGAACUGCAUUGCAAACCGGCCUGGCUAGAGUGCAGGAGAGGGAAGCGGAAUUCCAGGUGUAGCGGUGAAAUUCGUAGAUAUCCGGAGGAACACCGGUGGCGAAGGCGGCUUCCUGGACCGACACUGACGCUGAGGCGCGAAAGCUAGGGGAGCAAACAGG